GAUGAAGAACGUAGUGAAAUGCGAUAAGUAAUGCGAAUUGCAGAAUUCAGUGAAUCAUCGAAUCUUUGAACGCACAUUGCGCCCGUUAGUAUUCUGGCGGGCAUGCCUGUCUGAGCGUCAUUUCAACCCUCGCCCCCGGCUUUUGCUGGGAGCGGUGUUGGGGAUCGGCCGCCCGUCACUGGGAGGCCGGCCCCGAAAUAGAGUGGCGACCACGCCGUGUGCUCCUCUGCGUAGUAGUAAAUCACCUCGCAGGCGGACAGCGGUGCGGCCUGCCGUAAAACCCCCAACUCUUUCUGGUUGACCUCAGAUCAGGUAGGAAUACCCGCUGAACUUAAGCAUAUCAAUAAGCGGAGGA
rnacentral:misc_RNA from 1 species